GCUCGGUCUCACAAAUGAUGAGAUCAUGACCUGCGCCAAAUGCUCAACUGAAUGUGGCACUCAGGUGCCCCCAUUUUCUUUUUAAAGAAAAGAUUAUUUAAGCAAUGGUAUGAUUGGUGGGUUAGAUGGAGAAUAUGGAGAAGGAUAAAUAGGCAAUUAUUACAAUAAUCCUGAUGAAAGAAGGGUGCCUCAGUUAAGGCAAUAGUGGAAGUAUUGGAAUAGAGCAAGAUUCAAGAUAUAUUUUUAAAUGGAAGAGUCAAACAAACAAACAAACAAACAACUUGACUACCUGGAUGGGGGGAUGAGGGCAACAAAAAGCUCUAGGUUGAUCCUAGGUUAUUGGUCCCUGGAUGCCAUUAUUAAAUAUCCACAAAAUAGAAGGACAGGUUUUUAGAAGAAGCAAGGGUAAAAGAUAGUGAGUUUAGCUAGGAGAUGUUGAGUUUAAGGGCUUGUGGGACAGCCGAGGUGAAGAUGUCCUAUAGAGAAUCAGCUUAAAGUUUAGGAACAAAGUCUGAGCUAGAGACUAACAUUUAAAAGAUAGUAACAUUGAGCUGAAGUAGUCAUGAUGCCAAGGGAUGUAUGAAAUUGUCCAGGGGUUAACAUAUAAAGUGCAAAUUAACAGAAUCUUAAGGAAUGGUAACGUUUAAAGGAGCAGGCAGAGGAAGUAGAACCAAGGAAGAAUGUUACCACAGAAGCCAAAGAAGGAGAACAUUCCAAGGUGGAAAUGACCAAAAGUAUCAAAUGCCAUAAAUAUCAAGUUAUGUGAGCAUAAAAAGUGUCCACUGAACUUGCAACUAAGAAGUAAUUGGCAACUAUGGCCGGAGCAGUUAGUUAAGACCAGAGUUAAGACCAAAGGGAACGGAAGAGUGAGUAGGAAGAUAAAGCUGUGGAGAAACUAUAUGACGAUGUACUCUUUCAAUAAAGUUGGCUGUUCGUCAUUUCUACAUACCCAUGAGGGGCUGCUUUGCAUUUUUCUUUUUUUAAAGAACAAAUAAACCUUUUUAUAAAGAGAUUCUAAUAAUAGAAACAAUAACAAUAACAAUGAAACAACAAUGGCAACAGUUAAUAUUUAUUUAUAUAGUGUUUACUUUGUACCAAGCACUAGUCUAAGAACUUUACAUUAAUUAUCUCAUUUAAUCUGCACGUAACCCUAUGAGUUAAGUGUAUUAUUAUUCUCAUUUUAUAAAAGGCAUUUAGAGGUUAAGAUCUAGCGUUCAAACCCAGACAGUCUGGCCCACAGUCAAUGUUCUUUACCACUACAUUACAUUAGAGUUAGAAGCCACAGCAUCUGAGUCAAAGAGCCUCAUACAGAACAGGAGCUCAAUUUUUUUUUCCAAUUAGGUAAUGAAUUUAUUCAAACCUUACAUGAUAUAUUAUCUCCCUUCUCCUUCCAAGAGAGAAAGAGGGAAAAUUCCUCUAAGCCUAAAAUUAAGCUCUUAAUAUCUAUUUUUUUUUGGGGGGGGGGGAUACUGAAUUUUCAAAAGACUAGGGAACCUAAUGGGUUAGCAGGCAAGAGAUCUGAAUUUUAGUCCAAUUCUGCCUCUUAACAACUAUUUACCUUUGGACAAAUCAACUAAUGAGGCUAUCCUUCAGUUUUCCCCUGUAUAAAAUAGAUAUGAUAAUUCCUGAUCCAUAUAACUCACAAUGUUAUUAUGAGGAUCUAAUAUAAAUACAUGAAAGUGCUUAGAAAAAAAUUUAAGUGCCAUAUAAUCUGAGAUUUUAUGAUGUAGUAACAUAAGCACCAAAAAGAGCCAGCUGGGGGCAGUAGGAUGCAACACUUUAGAUCCUUGGAUGCGGUGGAUCAGGUUGGCUCAGGCAGAAAGAAAGGCUAAAGAUAUACCUAACUUCUCAAAAGGGAAACUUGUCAGUCUGCUUACUUCUGCUUCAUAACCCAUCUUGGAAAUCUCAAAAUGAGGCAUAAUGACAGCAUUAGAAUAGCACCUUUAAUCUCUUCACUCUAGUUGAAUCUGUCCACAGUUCACAAUUGAGGAGCCCAUUUGUUAAAAAGAAAGUGAAUUUGCACUUUCAUUGGAGACAAUGAAGUGGACAUCUAAUCACACAAAUUUCUUCAGUUCUGAGAGUCAAAACAGUCUGAAAAGAUGGUGGUUCACUUCUUUGAUAUGGUGACAAUGUGACAUGGAAAGCCUGACUUCAGGUGCCACUGAGGUUUCCUAAUUGAGGGUGUCAGGCAGAAAAGACUAUGAUGAAAAGGCCGUAUCUGCAUUCUCUCUAGGCCAGGCUAAGCCAGGACCCUUGAUUCUGGUUUGGAAAAACACAUAUUUACUCUUUUCAGCAUGUCUCAGGACCUGAGAAAUCCACAGACCAAGGCAGAGGGUGGAGAGCAGAAGAGAAAGGUGAGACAAGACCACUCCCUUGACCGGCUCUACAAAACAACCUAAGGCAUUGGCAGUGUAUUUAAAUAACCUACUAGAGAGAGUUUUACACUUUUUAUUGCUGUUCUUUUAAACUUUCAAGUUCAGAAAACUAUAAUAUCAGCCAGUCAAGUGUCAUAGGUACUUUGGUACCUCUUAUUGACGGAUCCCCAACUUUAUCUACACCAAAACCUGCCUUUCCUUCUCCUGUCUAAUAAAAUAUUAUAACAGAGUUUCUA